CCCAAAUUCUUUCUCCAAAACUCAAUUCUCUCUCUCUCUCUCCUCUUCCAUCUUUGUCUCUCUCGGUUUCUCAUCUUCUUUCAUCUCAAUCUCUUUCAGCCGCCCGCGGUGCCAUAAAAUUAAAAGACCUCCGUCUGAUUCGUCUUACUCUGCCAGAUCUAGUUCUGCAGGUUUUAUACCUAACACCAUUUGUCUUCCCCAAAACACCGAAGGAAAUCUUUCUGGUGGCGCCUCUAGCAGAUCUGCAGACAUGGUGGACGA